rnacentral:rRNA from 1 species
CAGCCGCCGCGGGAAAACCAGCAGCCCAAGUGGUGGUCGCGUUUAUUGGGCCUAAAGCGCUCGUAGCCUGACCGGUAAGUUCCCCGUGAAAUCGGGUCGCCCAACGAUUCGGCUUGCGGGGAAUACUGUCGGUCUUGGGGCCGGGAGACGCCGAGGGUACUCCGGGGGUAGCGGUGAAAUGCUGUAAUCCUCGGGGGACUACCAGUGGCGAAGGCGCUCGGCGAUAACGGGCCUGACGGUGAGGGGCGAAAGCUGGGGGCGCGAACGGGAUUAGAUACCCCUGUAGUCCCUGUCUCUUAUA